UGGAACAAGGUGUUGCUUGAAUCGGCCAA
rnacentral:piRNA from 1 species